GAUGAACGCUAGCAGAACGCCUAACACAUGCAAGUCGAACGAACCAGCAAUGGUUAGUGGCAAACGGGCGAGUAACGCGUAUCUAACCUACCCUUGAGUGAGGCACAACUACAGAGAUGUAGCUAAUUCCUCAUACGUUCUAGAGAAUGAAAAUAUCUAGAAGAAAGAUUUAUCGCUCAGGGAGGGGGGUGCGUCCUAUCAGGUAGUUGGUGAGGUAAUAGCUCACCAAGCCUAUGACGGGUAGCCGGUCUGAGAGGAUGUCCGGCCGCAAUGGAACUGAGAACGGUCCAUACUCCUACGGGAGGCAGCAGUGGGGAAUAUUGGACAAUGGGCGAAAGCCUGAUCCAGCGAUUCUGCGUGAAGGAUGAAGCCUUAUGGGGUGUAAACUUCUUUUCUGGGGGAAACGGAAUGACGGUACCUCAGGAAUAAGAGACGGCUAACUACGUG
rnacentral:rRNA from 1 species